AUGGCGGUGGCGUAGUGGUUAGCACAUUUUCCUCAGGUUCGAUUUCCUCAGGUUCGAUUCCUGCCGCCGCCCUG